rnacentral:lncRNA from 1 species
CGCCUGGCCUAUUCCUGCUUUUAAAAUAAAAUUUGCAUUUGAGAAAGUUCCAGCAUCUUAAAGGCAGAAAAGCUCUUGUUACCAAAUUUUGUCUAGUAUUUGUUUGCUUGCCUUGCCUCUGGUGACCAAUAACUUUCAUUCUCUAGACUGUGUGCUGAUAGCACUGUGAGUUGAAGGGACCCUGAAUAGCCUGACUCUCAGGAGCAACCCUUUGCCACGCUGGCAGAAAAUCUGUAAGUCUCUUUGAGUCCACACAGAGAUCAAACUCCAAAACCUCAUCCAUCUCAUCUUACCUCUUACGCCAAUGUCAAGGACAAGCAGGUCUAAUCCUCUACAUUAGACACAGACAGAGCAAAAUAAGUUUCUCCAAGCUUUAGGAAAUCCAUCCCUUCAGUUAUAGACUAUGUACUUCAGAAAACCCUCUCCUCUCUGAAUUCCUCUGUGCUGACUGCCAAGGCUGUACAUUAUCUAAUGUUAUCAGGAUAUAAAGGACCAGACUAUAUGGGUUCCAGUCCUGACUCUAGCAGUAUGACUUUGGACGAGUCACUUUUCUUGUCUAGGCUUUAAUUUUUGCAUUUUUAGAAGUGUGAGGGCGAGUCAGUGGAGUAAACUGGAUUGCAGUUAAGCUUUGGAAAUAUAAUACUAACACUUAAAUUCAAAUCUCUUAGCCAAGUCAGUAAGAUGCUUACUUGUGCACUAGUUCCCUUCUCCACUGGGUGAAAGGUUAUUAUAGGGAUUGAAAUAGCCAUCAAGGGCCUGACACAUGGAAGCUAUUAUGAUUCAGUGCCUUCUUUAUGUGUAAGUAGAUGGUGUCUAUGUGGUUUGAGUUCCCCAGUGGCUGGAACUGUUGAAGUGUGAUCCCAGGGAGGGAUACCUGGGUUGGAUUCCCACUGCUAUAACCUCCUAGCUGUCUGAUGACCCUGGGCAAAUUCAAUGUUUAUUUAUAAAAUUGAGACCUUUUUUUUGCCUCCCAGAGUUGUUGUGAGGGUCAAUAAUAUAAAACUUAUAACUCUUGUUGGGGGAAGUAUUUAUUUCACAUUUAUGUAUCCACAUGGAGUGACUUCUGGAUGUGUUCCCUAUCUCCCACACAGGGGUGAGAACAAACUUAUUUGCCUGGUGAAUUUGGGAGAAGGAUCUGAGCUCAGCCCCUUCCUUUUCCUUUUCUGGAACCAACCUGCUCUCAUGUUACAAGUCAAGCAGUUUAUUGUGGUUUAAUGAUGAGAUGCAUGUGCUGAGGAGGUAAUCAGAAGAAGUGAGAAAAGGAGACGGUGUGAAAUUUUGAAGAUUUUAUAUGCCAUGAUGCAGAAAUAAAAGUUCAGCAGGGUCAAGUAAGUUGUCCAAUGUUCAGUAUGAUGGAGUGGGAUUCACAUGCAAGACUAACUACCACUGAACCAUUUACUUCUGACUUUGCUAUUCUGCUUCCACUCACUGAACAUCUCUCUGAGCAAGGCUCAGCACCUGGUAUGAAGGCUGAAACAAGAGCGGUUGCACAGCAAAUGUUUUGCUAUAAUGAGAGAAUACAUGAAUUAAAUGCGAAUUAAACUGCUUCUA